rnacentral:rRNA from 1 species
UACGGGGGGUGCGAGCGUUGUCCGGAAUCACUGGGCGUAAAGGGCGCGUAGGUGGUUUGAUAAGGGUGUGGUGAAAGUCCGGGGCUCAACCCCGGAUCUGCCGUGCCGACUGUCAAACUCGAGGGCUGUAGAGGCAGGCGGAAUUCCGGGUGUAGCGGUGGAAUGCGUAGAGAUCCGGAGGAAGACCGGUGGCGAAGGCGGCCUGCUGGGCGGUUUCUGACACUGAUGCGCGACAGCGUGGGGAGCAAACAGG